GUAGAGACAGGUGGUGCAUGGUUGUCGUCAGCUCGUGUCGUGAGAUGUUGGGUUAAGUCCCGCAACGAGCGCAACCCUUACGUUUAGUUGCUACGAAAGAGCACGUCUAGACGGACUGCCGUUGACAAACCGGAGGAAGGUGGGGAUGGACGUCAAGUCCUCAUGGCCCUUACAGGGUGGGCUACACACGUGCUACAAUGGCGACUACAGAGGGUUAAUCCUUAAAAGUCGUCUCAGUUCGGAUUGUCCUCUGCAACUCGAGGGCAUGAAGUUGGAAUCGCUAGUAAUCGCGGAUCAGCAUGCCGCGGUGAAUACGUUCCCGGGCCUU
rnacentral:rRNA from 1 species